CCGGUAAACGGCGGUGGUAACUAUAACCAUCCUAAGGUAGCGAAAUUCCUUGUCGGGUAAGUUCCGACCUGCACGAAUGGCGUAACGACUUCCCCACUGUCUCGACCAGGAGCUCGGCGAAAUUGCAGUACGAGUAAAGAUGCUCGUUAAGCGCAGAAGGACGAAAAGACCCCGGGACCUUUACUAUACCUUGGUAUUGGCAUUCGGUGUGGAUUGUGUAGCAUAGGCGGAAGGCUUCGAAGCCACGGCGCCAGCCGCGGUGGAGCCGCAAGGUGAAAUACCGCUCUGUUCGCAUUGGAUGUCUAACCUCGACCAGUCAUCCUGGUCAGGGACAGUGCCUGGCGGGUAGUUUAACUGGGGCGGUUGCCUCCCAAAGAGUAACGGAGGCGCUCAAAGGUUCCCUCAGCCCGGUUGGCAAUCGGGUGGCGAGUGUAAGUGCACAAGGGAGCUUGACUGCGAGACUGACGGGUCGAGCAGGGACGAAAGUCGGAACUAGUGAUCCGGUGCCGGUGUACGGACGCGGCAUCGCUCAACGGAUAAAAGGUACCCCGGGGAUAACAGGCUGAUCAUUCCCAAGAGUCCAUAUCGACGGGAUGGUUUGGCACCUCGAUGUCGGCUCGUCGCAUCCUGGGGCUGGAGCAGGUCCCAAGGGUUCGGCUGUUCGCCGAUUAAAGCGGCACGCGAGCUGGGUUCAGAACGUCGUGAGACAGUUUGGUCUCUAUCCUCUGCGCUCGUCGGAAUGUUGAGGAGGCCUGCCCAUAGUACGAGAGGACCUGGGUGGACGAACCUCUGGUAUGCCGGUUGUCACGCCAGUGGCACGGCCGGUUGGCUACGUUCGGAAGGGAUAACCGCUGAAAGCAUCUAAGCGGGAAGCCUGCUCCAAGAUAAGCAUUCCAUAGGACUACGGGUCCUUGAAGUCCCCAUGCAGAACACGUGGUUGAUAGGCCGGACGUGGAAGCCCCGCGAGGGGUGGAGCCGACCGGUACUAACGGACGAAAGGCAACACAAC
rnacentral:rRNA from 1 species